GACGAACGCUGGCGGCGUGCCUAAUACAUGCAAGUAGAACGCUGAAGGAGGAGCUUGCUUCUCUGGAUGAGUUGCGAACGGGUGAGUAACGCGUAGGUAACCUGCCUGGUAGCGGGGGAUAACUAUUGGAAACGAUAGCUAAUACCGCAUAAGAGUAGAUGUUGCAUGACAUUUGCUUAAAAGGUGCAAUUGCAUCACUACCAGAUGGACCUGCGUUGUAUUAGCUAGUUGGUGGGGUAACGGCUCACCAAGGCGACGAUACAUAGCCGACCUGAGAGGGUGAUCGGCCACACUGGGACUGAGACACGGCCCAGACUCCUACGGGAGGCAGCAGUAGGGAAUCUUCGGCAAUGGACGGAAGUCUGACCGAGCAACGCCGCGUGAGUGAAGAAGGGUGUCGGAUCGGAAAGCUCUGUUGUAAGAGAAGAACGAGUGUGAGAGUGGAAAGUUCACACUGUGACGGUAUCUUACCAGAAAGGGACGGCUAACUACGUG
rnacentral:rRNA from 1 species